rnacentral:lncRNA from 1 species
AUGAAAAUGGUCAUAUUUUGUCUCUCUUGCUCUCUUAGUGGUGCUGCUCUGUUCACAAGGAACAAUCCCUUUCCGCCAGACCCACCUCUGGGAAAAACACAUUUACAACCCCUCACGCACCAAGAAGCUUCCAAAGCAACAGAGGAAAACCACCCUGAACGAUGUUGGCCUUGCCCAGCUGUCCAGCCCUCCUCCUCUCCAGACACACUCACUGUGCCCAUCGGACCCGUGCUUCCUUGGGGCAGCCAACCACUUUGUCCUCUGUCCUCCUCCUGCCACUAGGCCCAGUCUAGUUUUUAAGAGUCCUGGCCCUCCACUGAUCUUGUGUCCUCCCCGGCCAACACUGCCACCUCCCCGAACACAGACACACUGACAUAGGACCCAACAUCGGGAAAGUCCCUGGUUUCCACUGGGGGAGGAGAGAAGGAAGAUUCAGUGUUGGCAAAGUAUGCUUAAUACUAUUUCUAGAAUUACAUAAUGGUAAUUUGUUUUAUUUGUGACGUGUCAUACAGCAUUUGUGACCCUGCAUCCUCAUGUAUGUCUUCAUUGUAGUGUGUAUAAUGAUAUCCACAAUAAGCUUGCAGGUGACGAAUAUAGGAUGUUUGUAUUGCUUUAUGGUGUUAUGCCCUUUACAUGUCUCAUUAGUAACU